GAAAACGAAAAAUACGGCCAGAGUGGAGAGUGGUGUCGUGCCGUGGUGGUGUGUUGUGUGUGGCUCUCUAUCUCUGCUGCUGCUGCUUCUGAACGCCAUUUUUGCCACGAAUUCCGAGUUUUUCGUUUUUUUUUUAACCAAUUAGUAAUCGGAAAUCCGUGCAUUUGAUCAGUGAAAGGCCAGAAGAAUUAGUCCUUAGCGGAUAGAGGGUAUUUGAGUGUAAUCAGUUUAAUCGUGUUCCCUAUUGUUUCGUUCUUGUUUUCCGUGGAAUCGUUUGGUCUUCGUGUCCAGCAGAAGAAGUACGCCAACGAGUAGAAAGAGGUCAGCAGUCGUGAAGAAGGGUUUUUCUCCGUGAAAAGUCCGUCGCCCGAAGGAUCAAGGAGGAAGUAGUCACAGCAAGCAAGCAGAACCAACAACAGCAACAAAAGCAGCAAGAUGUCGUUCGAGGAAACUUCCGCCGAUCGCAAUGUGGAGAUUUGGAAAAUAAAGAAACUCAUCAAGAGUUUGGAAAUGGCUCGAGGCAAUGGCACGAGCAUGAUUUCGCUGAUCAUUCCCCCCAAGGAUCAGAUCAGCCGGGUGAGCAAGAUGUUGGCCGACGAGUUCGGUACCGCUUCCAACAUCAAGUCCCGCGUCAAUCGCCUCUCCGUACUGGGUGCCAUUACCUCGGUCCAGCACCGGCUCAAACUAUACACCAAAGUGCCUCCGAAUGGACUCGUGAUCUACUGCGGUACGAUCGUCACCGAAGAGGGCAAGGAAAAGAAGGUCAACAUUGACUUUGAACCGUUCAAACCGAUCAAUACCUCUUUAUACUUAUGCGAUAAUAAGUUUCACACCGAAGCGCUGACGGCCCUGCUGGCGGACGACAAUAAGUUCGGUUUCAUUGUGAUGGACGGUAACGGUGCACUGUUCGGUACGCUUCAGGGUAACACACGCGAAGUGCUGCACAAAUUCACCGUCGAUCUGCCGAAGAAGCACGGUCGUGGUGGUCAGUCCGCGCUGCGUUUCGCCCGUCUGCGUAUGGAAAAGCGACACAACUACGUCCGGAAGGUAGCGGAGGUGGCCACCCAGCUGUUCAUCACCAACGACAAGCCAAACAUUGCCGGACUGAUCCUGGCCGGUAGUGCCGAUUUCAAAACUGAACUCAGUCAGUCAGAUAUGUUCGAUCCGCGGUUGCAAUCGAAAAUUAUCAAACUAGUGGACGUAUCGUACGGUGGUGAGAACGGUUUUAACCAGGCUAUCGAACUGGCAGCCGAAUCGUUGCAGAACGUGAAAUUUAUCCAGGAAAAGAAAUUGAUCGGUCGAUACUUUGACGAAAUUUCACAGGAUACUGGCAAAUACUGCUUCGGCGUAGAGGAUACAUUAAAGGCACUGGAACUGGGCUCAGUCGAAACGCUGAUCUGCUGGGAGAACUUGGACAUUCAACGCUAUGUGCUGAAGAACCAUGUCAGUGCGACGUCCACCACAGUAUUGCACCUGACUCCGGAACAGGAAAAGGACAAGUCUCACUUCACGGAUAAGGAGAGUGGCGUGGAGAUGGAACUGGUCGAAUCUCAGCCUUUGUUGGAAUGGCUUGCAAACAACUACAAGAGUUUUGGUGCUACUUUGGAAAUUAUCACUGACAAAUCCCAAGAGGGCAGCCAGUUUGUGCGAGGAUUUGGUGGAAUUGGAGGAAUCCUACGCUACAAAGUAGACUUCCAGUCACUCCAGGCCGACGAGCCGCUGGACGAUGUUGACCUUGACGAUUACUAAAUCAAUUAGUUUUAAACAACCAGUAUCCACGGGACUGCGCGUACUGUAACGAAACUGUAGCGGAACAGACACGGACACACAACACAUAAGAACACACAUACACACAAUAAAAUUUCUCGACUCUCUUUGAAGUUCUAUGCAAUUCAGAGAAACACACGUUCAAGCCGAGUUUCGCGAUACAAUAGAAAAAAAGAAACAAAAACAUGCACACAGCGAAUCAGAAACCAAAUUCAUUCUGAAUCCAGGAAAAAAUUACGAAACACUACAAAAUACACACACAAACACAAACAUAUAAAGUAAAAUAGUUAAUAUAAUCAGCAAAGUCUAUAAACGGUCAACUGAUAAGGUGUGACACACAAACACACAAAAUUCGGUUCCGAGCCCGAGCGUGAGCGUGUACUUAGAUAAAAAAGAACGAAACUAGAAACUACAUUUAUAUAAAUAUUGAUGGGCAUCCUUCGGAAACGCGAUGGCAACAAAUGCAACAAGACUGUUGAAGGUUGUAUAAAGCAAUUUUUCAACGCUGGCAGCCACUUGGUUGCCCGUUGUCUAAUGUUGUUCUCGCUAUACUAAAUAGGUACCCCGUAUGUGGGUUCUCUCGUUUUUUUGCUCUAGCUCAACAAACGCAACGGCCGAGACAGAGCAAAACACGAAUGUAACCUGGCAAAGGUUGUCUGGAUCUCCGUAGAGGAUGCCCAGUUUUUAUGAUGAUAUAUCAUUGAACGAAGUGGUACACUUCAAACAAACUGUAUAAUAACAAUUGAUUUCCUUUAAAAUACGAAAUAAACGACAAUGCCAGAAUUGGGUGCAGGAUUAAUUGAAAUUAUCGCGACAACUCAAGAAUCAACAAAACUGAACAAUAAACCAACAACAAGGCUAAUCAAAGUUUGAAACAACAACAACAAAACGACGCUUGGAUUUGUCGGUAAAAUAUUUUCCUCUCGAUUUGGAAACAUCAAAAUAAAGUUAAAAAAACAUAUAUUGUAAAACUAGAGACUGCUGCUAAUGUAGAAUGAUCGAUUUUGGUUUUUUUUACUUCAACCUAUUGUGACAUUUGGAUGUGUUCACAAGGAAUCUCCAAUAGAUAGUAGUCUCGACACAGGCUUCCUGGCGAAUAACUCCUACCGUAUGUAGUGAUAAACUAAGGUCGCCUUAAACCCGUUAGGUGGUGUUAGACAAGGCGCUACAACUUCAUUGGAACAUAUUUUAGUUGCAACAACUGGAAAACGGCGUUAGGCAAAUGAAGGUUUGGUAUUUUUUUACGCGAAUGAAACCAGAUAAUACACUUCACACACACACACAUACAAACAAACACAAAAACGAUCGCAUUGAAAGGAAACACAGCAUCAAGAUAGGCAUACGAUACUUGAAGGUAGAACAAAGCUGGAAGACGAUACAUAGAAAUGGGCACACCUGCACGCACAUUGCCGCUGAUGGUUUUAUAGGAUGAAGGUAUUUUGCGCUACAAGGUAGAUUUCCAAAGCAUGCAGCUAGAUGAAUUGGACAACGGCGGUUUCGAUUUAGAUGAUUAUUAAAAAAUUUAUGUUUAUGAAGAUAUCAGUUAUACAAACACAGGUUAGAAAAUAUACAAGGAAAAUAAGAGAAACUGCAGUGGAAACACAUAAA